rnacentral:rRNA from 1 species
ACUAACAAGGAUUCCCCUAGUAACGGCGAGUGAACCGGGAUGAGCUCAAAUUUGUAAUCUGGCGUGCUCCGCGCGUCCGAGUUGUAAUCUAUAGAAGCGUUUUCCGUGCCGGACCGUGUCCAAGUCCCUUGGAACAGGGUAUCAAAGAGGGUGACAAUCCCGUACUUGACACGACGACCGGUGCUCUGUGAUACGUUUUCUACGAGUCGAGUUGUUUGGGAAUGCAGCUCAAAACGGGUGGUAAAUUCCAUCUAAGGCUAAAUAUUGGCGAGAGACCGAUAGCGAACAAGUACCGUGAGGGAAAGAUGAAAAGCACUUUGGAAAGAGAGUUAAACAGUACGUGAAAUUGUUGAAAGGGAAACGAUUGAAGUCAGUCGUGUCCAAGGGAUUCAGCCGGUUCUUCCGGUCUACUUCUCUUGGACGGGUCAACAUCAGUUUUGGCCGGUGGAUAAAGGCUGGAGGAAUGUGGCACCCUCGGGUGUGUUAUAGCCUCCUGUCACAUACAUCGGCCGAGACUGAGGAAUGCAGCUCGCCUCACGGCC